rnacentral:rRNA from 1 species
UACGUAGGGGGCAAGCGUUGUCCGGAUUUAUUGGGCGUAAAGAGCGUGUAGGCGGCCAGACAGGUCCGUUGUGAAAACUCGAGGCUCAACCUCGAGAUGUCGAUGGAAACCGUCUGGCUAGAGUCCGGAAGAGGAGUGUGGAAUUCCUGGUGUAGCGGUGAAAUGCGUAGAGAUCAGGAAGAACACCGGUGGCGAAAGCGCUCUGCUAGGCCGCAACUGACACUGAGGGACGAAAGCUAGGGGAGCGAAUGGG